rnacentral:rRNA from 1 species
CGAUAAGGGAACCUCGAGUGCCAGGUUACAAAUCUGGCUGUCGAGAUGCCUAAAAAGCAUUUCAUAGCAAGGGCCGGGCAAGACCGGUGCCAGCCGCCGCGGUAACACCGGCGGCUCGAGUGGUAACCGUUAUUAUUGGGUCUAAAGGGUCUGUAGCCGGCCGGAUAAGUCUCUUGAGAAAUCUGGCAGCUUAACUGUCAGGCUUUCAGGAGAUACUGUCUGGCUCGAGGCCGGGAGAGGUGAGAGGUACUUCAGGGGUAGGGGUGAAAUCUUGUAAUCCUUGAAGGACCACCAGUGGCGAAGGCGUCUCACCAGAACGGACCUGACGGCAAGGGACGAAAGCUAGGGGCACGAACCGGAUUAGAUACCCGGGUAGUCCUAGCCGUAAACGAUACUCGCUAGGUGUCGGCCACGGUGCGACCGUUGUCGGUGCCGUAGGGAAGCCGUGAAGCGAGCCACCUGGGAAGUACGGCCGCAAGGCUGAACUUAA